ACGGCUCAGUAACACGUGGCUAAUCUGCCCUUGGGACCGGAACACCCCCGGGAAACUGGGGCUAAUUCUCGAUAGGUGAAGAACUCUGGAAUGAGUCUUUGCCAAAAAGACGUUUGCGUUAUGCUCGUAGGCGUCGCCCAAGGAUGAGGCCGCGACCGAUCAGGUUGUUGGUGAGGUAAUGGCUCACCAAGCCUUUUACCGGUGCGGGCCGUGAGAGCGGGAGCCCGGAGAUGGGCACUGAGACAAGGGCCCAGGCCCUACGGGGCGCAGCAGUCGCGAAAACUUUGCAAUACACGAAAGUGUGACAGGGCUAUCCCGAGUGCCAUCCGCUGAGGAAGGCUUUUACCCAGUCUAGAACGCUGGGGGAAUAAGGAGAGGGCAAGUCUGGUGUCAGCCGCCGCGGUAAUACCAGCUCUCCGAGUGGUGUGGAUGUUUAUUGGGCCUAAAGCAUCCGUAGCUGGCUAAGUUAGUCCCUUGUUAAAUCCACCGAAUUAAUCGUUGGAUUGCGGGGGAUACUGCUUGGCUAGGGGACGAGAGAGGCAGACGGUAUUUCCGGGGUAGGGGUGAAAUCCUAUAAUCCCGGGAAGACCACCAGUGGCGAAGGCUGUCUGCUAGAACGCGCCCGACGGUGAGGGAUGAAAGCUGGGGGAGCGAACCGGAUUAGAUACCCGGGUAGUCCCAGCUGUAAACGAUGCAGGCUAGGUGUUUGGACGGCCACGUGCCGUUCUAGUGCCGCAGGGAAGCUGUUAAGCCUGCCGCCUGGGGAGUACGAUCGCAAGAUUGAAACUUAAAGGAAUUGGCGGGGGAGCAC
rnacentral:rRNA from 1 species